GGAGUCUAGCAUGUGCGCGAGUCAUUGGGACUGUACGAAACCUAAAGGCGCAAUGAAAGUGAAGGUCGUCUCGCGCGGACCGAGGGAGGAUGGGUGGUCUCGAGGGACCGCCCCGCACUCCCGGGGCGUCUCGUUCUCAUCGCGAGAAGAGGCGCACCCAGAGCGUACACGCUGGGACCCGAAAGAUGGUGAACUAUGCCUGGUCAGGACGAAGUCAGGGGAAACCCUGAUGGAGGUCCGUAGCGAUUCUGACGUGCAAAUCGAUCGUCGGAACUGGGUAUAGGGGCGAAAGACUAAUCGAACCAUCUAGUAGCUGGUUC
rnacentral:rRNA from 1 species